rnacentral:rRNA from 1 species
AGAAUCAACGCUGGCGGCGUGCCUAACACAUGCAAGUCGCACGAGAAAGGGGAGCAAUCCCUGAGUAAAGUGGCGCACGGGUGAGUAACACGUGAAUAAUCUACCUCCGAGUGGGGAAUAACUGAGAGAAAUCUUAGCUAAUACCGCAUAACACUUACGAGUCAAGGCAGCAAUGCGCUUGGAGAGGAGUUCGCGGCCGAUUAGUUAGUUGGCGGGGUAAUGGCCCACCAAGACGAUGAUCGGUA